CUCCUCCUGAAUCCUCUCUCUUCCUCGACAUAACCAGCCACGCCGCCGCUGCCGACUUCUAUAAAAAAUUGAUCCGGGCACGCAUGAGUCGUGCGUUGGUGCCAUGGGUAGCACAUCCACAUAAAUAUAUCGUGCAUGCUUACCCUGCGUUGUGUUUCUGGCCGAUUGAGCCAGCUUUCUACGUAUGAAUCUGGCCGGACGAACAUCACGGGUUGUUCACAGGCAGAUGCUAUUGUCAGUACAAUGACGAUCUGGUGCGAAUUUUUGAUCAAUCAUGUCUCUCAUGUGGCUGUGUUUAGCGGACGAAGAAUUCAAUCAUGGUUACCUGUAUAUACAUAUACCUUUUCCACGCGGAUAUUUGAAAUGGCACCACUGCGCAGAUCGACAGAUGGAGGAGCUAAGUCCUAUUUUCUGGGACAUACAAGACAACGGCGAGCACAUCUAGCCACCGGAAACAUGAGACAACUCCACAAAACAAUGGCAAUGUCAGCAUCGUUUAAUCCAGCGACGGCAUCUUUGCAAAUGUGGUUGGUACACACAUCAGGUAUUUUUGUCCCCAAUCGAUGUACUCUUUUCUUUAUUAGUGAAACACGUUGUGUAUUACAUGCAUGCCUGAUGGCUAUGUAUUUAUGUACUGAUGAGUUCAUUGGACAGGUAUUUUCUUAAAGAUUGUUACAUUUUCCAUUAAAUCUUUCUCUUUGUUAGUUUCUUUCCAAGAUAAUUGUGUGGUUGAUUGCUUGACCAAAGCAUUUAAAGCCGGAAACUAAAUAAGA